UUGCAAUGAUGUUUGAAUUUCUUCACCUGAAGUUCAGCAUGUAGAUCAAACAAACGAGCUUUUUAACACUGAGCAAC